rnacentral:rRNA from 1 species
CACUGGUGUUCGGGUUGUCAUGCCAAUGGCAUUGCCCGGUAGCUAAAUGCGGAAGAGAUAAGUGCUGAAAGCAUCUAAGCACGAAACUUGCCCCGAGAUGAGUUCUCCCUGACUCUUAAAGAGUCCUGAAGGAACGUUGAAGACGACGACGUUGAUAGGCCGGGUGUGUAAGCGCAGCGAUGCGUUGAGCUAACCGGUACUAAUGAACCGUGAGGCUUAACCUUACAACGCCGAAG